rnacentral:lncRNA from 1 species
UCCAAUCUUGUUUUUUACUUUUGUCCUUUCGGCUCGGAAAUAUCCCAUAGACAGCACUCAUGCUCUGUUUGUUUGUUGAGAAAAUCUAAAUAAAAUAAAAGAAUUGAAAAUACUUUCACGCGGCAGUUUGCUUUGUAAUUUCUGCUGCAACUGAAGAACAAGCAAAACGUUAACCUUUACUAUUUUUCUUCUUUUCCUUCAGUUUCCAGUAUUUUCCAGGCAGCCAAACAGAACGUGAGUGCCAGCCACUGCAACUGUUUCUCCGUCUUAGAAACUUCUGUGGAUCACAGACGAGCUAUGCUCCCGUGGUCGUGAAUCUUAACGAGUGACAACCCGCAAUUUUACCGUAAUUACUGAAGCCUUUCCCCUCCUUUUUUUUUUUUUUUCCUUUACCCUGACUGAACAUGGAUAAAUGCUUAUCUUGAAUUUGAGGAAUGAUAAAUGAAGAUUUUGAGUUAUAGAUUGUGGGUUUUAUUUGUGUUAGUAAAUUUUUUUGGUUUGGUUGGGUUCUGUUGAGUUUUUUUGGUGGUUGAAGUAUCUUUAAUGCCUUCUUGUGCUUUGGUUUGUUUUUUCUUUGCGGUUUUUUUAGUUUUACUGAUAUUACUGUUAGAAUGGUGCUAUGACAAUUCCAUUUAUUGAUUUAUUUGAUAGAUGCUUCACAAUUUUGUGUUAUCAUGUGAAUUUUAUGGUGCCCUUGUAUCAUCUUGAACAAAAUCAACUUCUCAUUUUUGUAACUUUUUGAGUUUUGGAAUUACUUAUUUGAGUUUUACUUCACGAGGGUUGUUGUGGAGGUAAAGGAAGAGACAAUGUCCAACAUUAAUAGUAUCACCUAACACAUUUAUUGUUGAACACCUAUGGGUGAUCAGCUUGGAAAAUGAGAUAAUGGGCUUUCUACUUGUCUAUGCCAUAUCGGUCUGGGAAUUACAGUCCAAUCCUGUGAAGCCUCAUUGAAAAUUUGGGGUCAUCUUCUAAGAAGUGAUAGCCGAUAACAACUCAACUUCAAGGCCAAUAUGAACAUUUUAAAAGUUUGAAAAGGUAUGUCUUCUUUUUCCAUUGAAGAAGUUUGUGAUGGUGAUUCUUCCAUUUUUCUGUUUUCAGAGCUUUGUGCUUGUAUUUCUUUUUGCUCUGUGAUGCAGUAUGUGUUGAAAGAUCAGCAACUGAGACCUAGAGAGCUAGAGCGCAGAUGGGAAGCUGAAUUCUUGAGGUACCACAGGUGUCUUCUUGCCUCAAUGUAAAUAAAGGCUGAUUGAGUAAUUGGGUCUUUUUUCUUUUCCUCUCUCUCUCUCUCUCUCUCUCAUGUCAGGUGCUUAUUUAUACCUUAAUACUUGGUGGCAUUUGGCUAGCUUUAGUUGUUUAGGUCAAUAAAUUAACUCCUAAUAUAUAACUCAUUUCAUUCUUUUAGCUGAUUGUGAUAUCCCAUAUUGGAUAGGGGAAAAAGUUCAUAGAACUAUAUAUGUAUGGGCUCCUUUUAACCUUGUAGAUGCGUUUUAAAGCUGUGGGAGUCCCUAUCUACAUGGUUGGGAGCAAGCCAUUACAAAUGGUAUUAGAGUUGAGUCUUGAUCUCGAUGUGGAGGUUAGUUUGGACUCAUGAGGGGUGUAUGUUUCUUUGGCCUUGCAAUCUUGUAGGACACAAUGAGGAUGUUGUGUGUGCAUAGAGGGGGGAUGAUUAUGAUAUCUCAUAUCGGAUAAGGGAAAAAUUUUCUGAGGCUAUAUAUGUUUAGACUUCUCUUAACCUUGUAGACGUUUUUUUAAUGCCAUAAGGGCCCUUUAGGCCUGGAGCGAACAAUAUCUAUAUGGUUGGGAGCAAGUCAUUACAAAUUUGGAUCGACCCGCUCCCAAUUGUGUAAAUAUUGUCCGGUUUAGGCUCAAAGGGCUCUUAAAGCUUUAAAACACAUCUAAUUGGUUAAGAUGAACCCAGACAUAUAUAGUGCUAGAGACUUUUUCCCUUAUCUGAUGUGGAAUAUCAUAAUUACUCCCCCAUGUAGAGAGAAUAUCCUCGUUGUAUCCCAUGGGAUUGCGAGGUCAAAUAGACAGACUCUCCUCACAAGGCCAAACAAACUUCGCAUCAAAGUCAAAGGUUGACUUUGAUACCAUUUGUCCACUCUGGCUCAGAGAGCCCUCAUGGCUUUAAAACGCAUCUACUUGGUUAAGAGGAGCCUAUACAUGUCGUAGAAGAUACAAUUAUGUUAUAUACAAUUGUUUCAUAUGCAACUAUGUGUGUACACAACUAUGUCACAUAAAACGAUGUGUGUACACAAUUGUGUAUAUCUAUGUACAAUUGUGUGCAUACACAGUUGUGUGUGGAUUUGUGUAUAUAAUCCUUGAUUUGUAGGGAUCUUUAAUAUUUCUUUUUUGUUGCUAUAUAUAUUUCAAGGGUUGUAUACAUUUAAUAUAUGAAUGAAAAAUACAAUUUUUCUCCACAUGGUACCAAAGUCGAAUUAGGCUCCUUGUGAUUUAUUUAUUUUUUUUCCAGCCUUCAUUGUUGAUUUGUAGUACCCUUUAUCCUCUGUUUUUUUUAACCCCAGUUUAAUGGCCUUUAUUGUCAUUUCAAAAGCACUUUGCUAUAUUUUUCUCUAGAAUUAUGUCCAAAACAACAAAUAAGGACACUAUUUAGUGUACCUACUGCAAGAAGCCGAAACACACAAGAGAUCAGUGUUGGAAACUCUAUGGAAAACCUCAAACUUUGAGUAAAUAUUGAGGUUUCAAGGGUGGACAGUAGAGAACUCAAGCACAGUUCACCAAAUCUUAGAUCAAUGAAAACCUGUUACAAGAGAGGUUGAAUUCUAGUGGUAGUGAAUAUAUUAACAAGAGAUUGAGAAAUUGAAGAAUCUCCUAAGAACGCUUGAGAGUCCUAGUGAAGUUUACUUUCUUGCUCAGUUAGGUAAGCAUUCCCUGUCUCUUACUUUUAGUGUCUCAGAUAUGUCUUUCCUAGGCUCUUAGGUCAUCGACUGUGGACACAUAUGGUGUGUACAUUAAACCACUGUCCAACUUCUCCUUAAUAAAAUGUCUAUCUACUUCCACAUGCUUGGUUUUGCCAUGUUGUAUCGGGUUCUGUGCAAUGUUGAUGGUUGACUUAUUGUCGCAAUAAAGUCUCAUUGUUGUCUUCCAUUUAAUCUUUAAGUUCUCCAAGAUAAUCUUUAGCCAAAGCAGCUUACAGAUUCCUUGAUCCAUUGCACGAAACUUUGCUUCUACAAUAGAUCUUGCAACAACGUUUUAUUUCUUACUCCUCCAAGUUACCGAGUUCCCUCCUAGAAAAGUGCAAUAUCCUAUAAUAGACCUCUGACCAACAACUGAUCCUACAUAAUCUACAUCAAUAUAGGCCUCCAAUGAUAGCUCAGUGCUUUUCUUAAACAAGAUUCACAACUUGAGGGGGAGUGUGAAAGAUAUAGCUAUGUCCUAUAUGAGGUUGUGUGUGUACACAACUGUGUAUAUCUAUGUACAAUUGUGUGCAUACACAUAUGUGUGGAUUUGUGUAUAUAAUCCUUGAUUUGUAGGGAUCUUUGAUAUUUCUUCUUUAUUCUUUCUGUUGAGCUGUAAAUAGAAUAGGAGAAUUAUUUUCCUAUUAUGUUAGUUUCCUAUUUUUGUAAAUAGAUAGUUUUAUGAUUUAGGAAUAAGUUAUGAUUUAGGAAUAAGUUAGUUUAGGAAUAAGUUAGUUUCCUAUUUCUUUUCUUGUAAUCUCCUAUAUAAACUGUGUAUAGUCAAUCUAAUAGACAAAACUUAUUAUUUUUCAUCCCAUAUUUCGUGUCAUGGUAUUAGAGUUGUAGGUUUUUAAGACCUGAGCAUCAUUCUGGCCUUCAUCGCCAUUUUUCUGGCCUUCAUAGCUGGAUUUUUUUUUAUUCACGUGUUCUUUACAAACCUAUUGGAACUUGUUCAAUAGUGAAGAAAUGGAGAAGCUGAUAAGCUUGUUGGGAUCCCUUGACAAACCUACUGGAACUUGUUCUUUGGCUCUUUCAGGUACACCUUCACUCUCUUUUUGCAUAAAUGCCUUACAUAGGGUUUAUGAUGAUUCUUGGAUAAUAGACUCCAAUGCCACAGACCAUAUGACCUCCAAAUCUCAACUUUUCCAUACCUAUACCCCAAACCCAAGUAACAAGAAAAUUGCAGUGGCUAAUGGCUCUUUAGCUACCGUUGCAGGUUUCGGAGACAUAUACAUCACACCUACCCUUAUUCUUAAAAAUGUCCUCCAUGUACCAAAAUUGUCGGCCAACCUUGUUUCCAUUCAAAAGCUUACCCAAUAUCUUAAAUGUUAUGUUAUUUUUUUCCCUUCUUAUUGUGUUUUUCAGGAACAAGGCUCGUGGAGGAGGAUUGGACUUGCUAAGGAAAGGAGCGGUCUUUAUCACCUUGAAUCAUCUCAGAAAACUAGUAAUAAUUUGUCGUUGUCUUUUCUCAGUUCCUCAAAUAAAGAUACCAUUUGGUUGUAUCACCUACGUUUAGGUCAUCCAUAUUUUAGGGUUUUAAAGGUCAUGUUUCCUUAUUUGUUCCAAGGAUUAGAUAUUUAUGAGUUUCAUUGCGAAACUUGUGAAUUGGCAAAACAUACUUGUGUUUCUUUUCCUAUUAGCAAUAAAAUAAGUUCUCAUCAUUUUCAUUUGAUUCAUAGUGACAUAUGGGGUCCUUCGACUAUACCUAAUGUUUCUGGGGCUUGUUGGUUUGUAUCCUUAAUUGAUGACUGCACUUGGGUUACAUGAAUCUUUCUUCUUAAACAAAAAUCUGAUGUUAGUAUUGUUAUACCUAAUUUCCACUCAAUGGUUCAAAACCAAUUUGGGGUUAAAAUAAAAAUGGGCAUUUACUCAACACAACCCAAGCCUUACUCUUUCAAGGGAAUGUUCCUAAGUCCUAUUGGGGGGAAGUUGUUCUUACUGCCACAUACAUGAUAAAUAAAAUUCUCUCACGAGUGUUAGACAACCAAAGCCCCGUAGAGAUACUUAAGAGUUUCUAUUUAGGUGCACUGCAUUUGUUCAUGUCCACAGCCAACAUAGAGACAAGCUAGACCCCCGAGCCAUAAAAUGUGUCUUCCUUGGUUACUUAUCCACUAAAAAAGGAUACAAGUGUUACAAUCCUUCAGCCAAAAAAUUUUACAUCUCUGCAGAUGUCACCUUCACAAAAAAUAAAUCUUUUUUCCCCAAGUCCUCUCUUCAGGGAGAGAUUUCAAUAAUGAAAGAUAGUCCUUGUGAGUCCUUUGAACCUCUUGAUCUUCCUCAUGUCUCAACCCAUGGUGAUGAAGAACCUGAGUCAUUCGAGUCAAUCACACCUGAGUCACCCAAUUUUACCACUGAACCCGUGUCAUCCCCUGUUCCAACUAGUGUCACUUGCAAUUUUUCACAGUUUCCUAAGGUGUAUUCAAGGGAAAAGGCCAUUGCAGAACAAAAGCAUGUCCAAGAAUCCAACUCAGACCGUGGGAGUGAAAUCACGGUAAGAUCAGACCCACCUUUACAAACACAACUUGGUGAAACUUCCACUGACUCAAUAAACAACCUAGACCUAGACCUUCCCAUUGCUGUCAGAAAAGGCACCAAAGAAUGCACUAACCGACCACUUUAUCCACUAUCACACUAUGUGUCUCUUAAGCACCUAUCACCAGCCCACAAGAAUUUUAUUGUGAGUCUAAACACCACUAUCAUCCCUAACAUUGUUUCUGAGGCAUUGACAAAAAAGGAAUGGAAGGAUGCUAUGAGAGAGGAGAUGAGUGCAUUAGAAAAGAAUAAAACAUGGGAGAUUGUUGAAAGACUGAAAGGGAAAAACAUUGUUGAUUGCAAGUGGAUUUUCACACUGAAAUAUAAGGUUGAUGGAUCUCUUGAGAGACAUAAAGCAAGAUUAGUAGCCAAAUGGUACACUCAAACUUAUGGAGUUGAUUAUCAAGAGACUUUUGUUCUAGUUGCAAAAAUGAAUACUGUAAGAAUCCUGCUGUCACUGGCUGCCCACUACAAUUGGCAACUCCUACAGUAUGAUGUUAAGAAUGCAUUUCUUUAUGGUGAUUUAGAUGAAGAGAUUUACAUGAACAUCCCACUGCGAUUUGAGGGAAACACAGGUAACAAGGUGUGCAAGCUGAAAAAGGCCCUUUAUGGGCUAAAACAAUCUCUUAAGGCUUGGUUUGGGAGAUUUGCAAAAGUCAUGAAAGAGUCUGGAUACAUACAAAGCCAAGGUGACCACACUCUCUUUAUUAAGCACUCGGUUGUAAGGGGAGUAAUUGCUCUUCUAAUCUAUGUUGACGACAUCAUAGUGACUAUAAAUGAUGAGAGAGAAAAGCAUGAAGUGAAGUAGAGAUUAGCAACAAAAUUUGAGAUAAAGAAACUAGGGAAACUGAAGUGCUUCCUCGGUAUUGAGGUGGCAUAUUCCACACAAGGGAUCUUCAUCUCUCAAAAAAAGUAUGUGACUGAUUUAUUGGCAGAAACAGGGAAGAUUGGGUGUAAACCAGUCUCUACCCCAAUGGAUCCAAACCACAAGUUUGGAGAAGCUAAAGAAGAACCAGUGGUAGAUAAAAGAAUGUACCAAAGGCUGGUUGGUAGGCUCAUAUACCUUGCUCACACUCGGCCAGACAUCGCCUACUCGGUGAGCGUGAUCAGUCAAUUCAUGCAUGAUCCAAGAGAACCUCAUCUUCAAGCUGCUUACAGGGUGCUGCGUUACUUGAAAGACAACCUCGAGAAAGGAAUUUUAUUAAAGAAGAACAAUACUCUUGCUCUAAAAGCAUACAUCGAUGCUGACAAUGCAGGUUCCCCAGUGGAUCGAAGAUCAACUGCAGGGUAUUGUACUUUUCUUGGAGGUAAUCUGGUAACAUGGAGAAGUAAAAAGCAGAAUAUGAUAGCAAGGUCGUCUGCAGAAUCAGAGUUUAGGGGCAUUGCUCAAGGGUUAUGCGAACUACUUUGGCUGAAGAUUAUUCUAGAUGAAUUGAGAAUCAAGUGGGAUGAUCCUAUAAAGCUCUAUUGUGACAACAAGUCAACUAUCAAUAUUGCUCAUGACCCUAUACAACACGAUAGGACAAAUCAUAUUGAGAUUGAUAGACAUUUCAUCAAAGAAAAAUUUGAGGAAGGAGUAGUGUGUAUGUCCUAUGUUCCAUCAGAACAUUAAUUAGCCGAUAUUCUAACAAAAGGACUGAAUAAUUCAAUGUUUCGCGAUCUUAUAUUCAAGUUGGGAAUGGAAGACAUCUAUUCCUCAGCUUGAGGGAGAGUGUUGAACUAUAAAUAGAAUAGGAGAAUUAUUUUCCUAUUAUGUUAGUUUCCUAUUUCUGUAAAUAGAUAGUUUUAUUAUUUUCCUAUUUCUGUAAAUAGAUAGUGUUAUGAUUUAGGAAUAAGUUAGUUUCCUAUUAUGUCUCUUGUUUCCUAUUUCUUCUCUUAUAAUCUCCUAUAUAAACUGUGUAUAGUCAAUCUAAUAGACAAAACUUAUUAUUUUUCAUCCCAUAUUUCGUGUCACGUUCUUUUCUACUACUGUAUAUAUUUUAAAGGUUGUAUACAUUUAGUAUAUGAAUGAGAAAUACAAUUUUUCUCCACAUAUAUAGCGUUAGUAACUUUUUCCCUUAUUUGAUGUGGGAUAUCACACCCAUUGUUUGAUUCUCUACCUGUGUGCUAUAGUUGAGUGGAUGGCGCUCUUUUUGUGUUUAUGUAGGCAAGAGGUUUCACAAUCAGUUCAUCCUUCUUAUUAUUUAUAAUGAUGGGAUUAUCAUUUUGAUCUAGCAUGUUAUUACUUCCCUAAAGCUAAUAAGCCUCUCUUCCCCACUUAAAAGAAUCUUUUCAGAGAACAAGUAUCAAGGAAAAAUUAUGUUAUGAGGUGAACUUGGUUGUCUGCACUCAGAAUAAUGGAGGGAUAGAAGGCCUUGCUACACUGCUUCCUUGUUGUUUUGGUUUUAGCCUUUGAUUGGUAGAGUGAGUGGGGACUUUGCCUCAAAUUGAUUAAAGUGUGGAUUCUGUGUUUCUUAAUUGAUAAGACUGUGGAUUCUGCAUUUCCUCCUUUUGGAAAAACACAACUAGGUCAAUGUAGGCAAGUAAAUAUCCUGGUCAAAAUGAGUUUUCUUAGAAUUAAAGUUAGGUUGUCUUUCACCAACAAGGAUCAUACCACUAAAAUCAAUUCCUGGUUAUAGAUUUGUAUUGCGUCCUAUUUGUAAUGGAAAAGAUGAUGUGUUUGAUAUGACUUUGUUCUAGUUGCAGUUGUCUCUUCCUGCUGCUGUAAUACAUUAUCCUACCUUUGUCCUCUUUGCUGCAUUAGGUAAUGCUGCUAUGUUUAGUCUUAGGAUUGGUUUGUAUCAUGUACUACAAGAUGAUUUCUUACCUUUGUUUCAUUGGUGCAUUAGUUAAUGUUUAUGUAUUCAACUAUAGAAGGGGAAUAUAUGGCCUGAGAUUUAAUUUAAGUGGCACCUCUACUAGGCAAUGACUGAGUGGUGUCUCAGCAAGUUCUAUGUUGCUCCUAUGGUACCUUCAUCUCUUUCAUCAAGUUCUGUGCUUUUGAUUUAAUAUCUGUUUUGAUGCUAGUAGCUCUUUUAGUAAGUCAAGUGAGUGCUCCUUUGUGAUAGCGGGUGUUGGUGGGUCAUGUCUAUGUCAUGUUCAAGCCUAGGUAUUCCACUAUAUUGGUCAACCCAAACCCGACGCGAAUAAUAGCCGUGUCCAAAACUUAAAACCCAAAUACUACCUAACUAUUAAACAUGUAAUACGUCAUGCAACCUAUUUAAAAGAAAAUUUAAAAUAAGUCAAAAUAUGGGUUAAACAAUUUAUAGUUAUAAUUAGGUUAAUCAACUAGAUUAUUAUAUGGGUCAAUUCAGGUCAAAUUUGUGUUAUGUAGGUUGACCUAAAAAUUACCUAUUUAUUAAAUGGGUUAUGCAAGUCAACAUGAAUUUGAUUCAAGCCCAAUUAUACUCAACCCAAACCCACGAAAAGCGUGUUAGGUUUUGAGUUGUGUUGACGAAUUGUCUCAAACUUUGCCAUCCCUACUCUAUGAUUGACCAUUUUUUGUUGAGAAUACACAUUAUGACAUACUCUAGUAAGCUUAUAUUAGAGCAAUGAUCCUCACUUGUCCACUUUGAUGGUGGGUUUAUGGGCUUUAUCUCCUACUUUCUUGGUGGAGAACUUGAACCUACCAAAAACACCCACCAAAAAGAAAAUUGAAAUUUCCUAAAUUAGUGUCUCUACUCCUGGCCCCUGAAGUUAUUUCCAACAUCACUGUAAAUUAGAGAAGCAUGAACGUACAAUUUAAAAAAAAAAAAAUGAAAAAUAUAUGAGGUUCAUACCUUUAUCCCAGUGGGAUCCCAAGAAGUAAACUUGGGAUCUCUUGUGCCUAAAGCAGGAUCUGUGCCACCAGUGAAGAUUUGCAAUUCUUUGUGCUUAUCAUGUCUGUUUUUGGACCUGUGUUUGGUUUAAUAUAUUGGUCAUUGCAAUUCACUUCAGCUGCUGUAUGUUAGUCCAGGAAGGAUGAUCUAUUUUGGUGCUGUAUAGUGGGUAAAUUUACUCUUACAUGAAUGUUCCUUUGCACUUAUUGCAGUUACCUUUGGCUUUAGUUGAUCGAGUAAUGAUUUUUUUGUGUAUUUAUGUUUGGUCUGACAUGAGGGCAUGUCUUGAUGAUCAAUUCUGCUUCCUUUUCUUUCUCAUUUCAUGGAUGCAGAUCCCUGUCCUAAUUAUUUUAACGAACUAUUCUGUUGCAGGUUUUGGGUUGAUUUGGUACCCAACUAUGUUUAUAUAAAAUAGUUGUAAUAUUCCGUUUGUGGUCAAAAUGUUCAGCUUCAAUUAGAAGUCAUGGCAGUUGACUUAGUUUACAAUGUGUUGACUUAGCAUCCUAUUGAUCCAUAGGCUGUAGACUCUACUUUUUAGGGAUGCAUUAACUAAUCUUGGGUCUGAGUUGAAACCAUGUGCUCUUUGAUGUACUUUGACUGACUGAUGCACAUAUCUUCACGCACCCACCUUGAUUAAUAUGCAGCUUCUCAAUCUAUUGACGAAGAAUCUUGUCAGGAAAGUAAAAAAUAUUGCAUUAGUGAAUAUGUUCUGCUGAUCUUCUAAAUUCAGGAUCAGAUCAUUCUGUUUGAAUAUUAAGAUGAACUAAAAUAGAACAUCAAAAAUUAUAUAGAAAUGAAUUCAGUGAUUACUGUGGGGCAUUCCAAGAAUCGAACUAGGGACCUCUUGCACCCAAAGCAAGAAUCAUACUACUAGACCAAAUGCCCAAUUGUUAGUAAUAUUAUGUUUUAUUUUUGGUCAAGUGUUUGGUUGGAUUUACCAUUUUUUGCAGUAGAAAAUUUUUGCUGCUUGUUGACUGAAUGUACCUUUAGUCAUUAAUAUUUCAGUAUAGUUGGCUGUAUUCUUGCUUAUAUAUCAUGUUAUACUUAUGAUGAAGCUAAUGCAUGUAGCUUGAUUUUAGUAUUUGUAGCAAUCAACUUUAUGUGCACUAUGUUGACUUAACAUGCUGUUGAUCCAUAGACUCUAGUGUUUAGUGCUCCAUCAACUAGACUUGGGUCUGAAUUGAACCGUAUGCUCCUAUGGUUGCUCACAUUCAUGCACACACACAUAUGUUUCAUGAUACUUCUAUGUAAUUUGUUCACGUAUUUUGAUUUCUUUUGGUGGGUGUUUGCUAAAAUAAUAUGUUUGAUUUGGGUGAGAGCAUUAUUCUUCAUUAUGCCACCAUUAUAGCUUGCUGAUAGCUCUUUUUUUUCUGUUCUAGUGGUUUUUAUUUGAGUUGAGGCCAUUGCUUAAUUAGACAACCUUUGUAAAUUGUCCGUGAGAUCAAUUUGUAGGUGGGAAUCUCAUCAUGGAAAAAAAAAAAAGAUAGUAGAUUUUGAUGAUUUACAAGGUCUUCUGCUGCACUGAGUUGGCCUGGGUUAUAAUACUGAGUCAAGUUUGUGUCAAAAUAAAUAAAUAAUUUAUAAUAAAACCGUAAGUUUGUUUAAUCCCUGAUCUGGGCGGGGGCAUUCCGUGAAUCAAAAUUGGGACAUCAUGCACUCAAGCCGAGAAUCCUACCACUAGAUCAAUUGCCUUAGGUGUGUUUCUGUGGUUAGUUGUGUGUGCCAUUAACUUGGUUAGGUUAGCUUUUUUUGGUUGCAACUGAAAAUGUUUUUUCUUUUAUUCUCCUCAAUUGGGAAACUUUUGAAUUGCAAGAAGAGGUGGUCUUUGGCUAGGCAGGUACUUAGAGGGUCCAAGAAAUAUGAGAGUCUUAAUCAAAUUUGAUGCCCAGAUGCUCUUGUGGAUCUUUACAGUAAUCUUAGAAGAAACAAAAUUUCUGGGUCUUGAUCUUUAGAUCUCCCUGAGCAUUCUCUAUACCCUGCAAGUGACUGCAGAUGACUCAUCUGAGGUAUUGGUCUUGAGAUGGAUGUGGUUAUAUAUUUUUCCAAUAACCACUAGAUUGCGAAAAGAAAAAGGUUAUUUGUGGUAUUAAAAACUUCCUAAUAAGAAUUCAUGCAAUUUUUCAUGUUUCUUCACUUGUUGAUCCCUAGAAGUCAUGACUGCAGCCUUAAACAUGAGACUAGUAGUAAUAUAAAAUUCAACUCAGUGAAAAAAUAAGUGAUAAGUACACAUUACAAAAAAUUAAGUAUCCUUAAUCACUAUGCUCUGCCUUGGGGUGCCAAAAAGUAGCAUAUCAUGUUGAGUAGCUCAAAAAUUUGUCAGAGCUCAACUAAGGAGCUGAUGCUAACUGUCCAAAAGUUCGAUGGGGGUAAUCCUUUUUUCCAACAUCUCAUUCCUAUAAUUUGUCAUUGGCAAACUAAAUUUGUAUUUGGUGGGUACUGUAUAUUUCUCUCUGCACACUCUCUAGUUCAUAAAAAGUAUUUGGCUCAAAUGUUCAAAACAGAAUGGAAUGUUAUUUAUGUUUGGUGUGUGCUGUAUAACCCUUGGUGAACACUUUCUGGUUCCUACAUGCUUCUCUGCUGCCUUUUCCUGAUCAAACCAUUCUGCUCAAAUAUUUAAAACGGGAUGAAAUAUUGAAAUGAAUUCCUGAUCAAAAGUGGGUCAUUCCGAGAAUCGAACUCGGGACCUCUCGCACCCAAAGCGAGAAUCAUACCACUAGACCAAAUGCCCAAAUGUUGAAUUUUAUCAUAUUCAACUUGUGAUCAAUGUGUUUGAUUGGAUUCAAGGGAUUAGUCAUUUUUUAUCUCCAGUCACUCCUUUUAGUUUUUAAGUGGACCUUCAUUUAAGGAGCAGACUGUUCCUGUUGCCUCACCUGUGUUGAGGUAUAAGUGUGCCUAGCAGGGGUUGAAUUUGAAAGCGCUACUUCUUGUAUUCUUAAUUUCAGAAGCCAUUAGUUGCUUGUAUAGGGUUUUGUUUUCAAGCUAACUGUUUGGUUUGGGUUUGUUUUCAAGCUAAUUGCUUGGAUAGGUGGGUUUUGUUUUCAAUCUAAUUGCUUAGAUAGGGUUUUGUUCUCAAGCUACAAACUAUUGCAUUGAUCCUUUUGUGAAUCUCUUUGGAGGAACCAAAAUUGUCUGAUCUUGAACCUGAGGCUGCUAUAGUUAUUGGAUUCUUCUCCUCAGAAAUUGAUUUUGUUUCUGUAGCCUCUGCAAGCAUGGAAAUCUUUUGUACGACAAUAGUGUUCAAUUUAUUUCUUCUCUUUAUUAAAUGGAACUGUCUUGCUAUAAAGUUCCACUGCAGGCUUCAGAUGACUAUCAGAGGCAAUCAAGUCAGUCUGCAGUGUCAAUCUUUUUUGUGUUAAGCUGGAGGAAAGCAGUGUAAGACUUGAAAGCGAAUCUUUGUCUGGUGGCAUUCCAAAACUAAUUGGAAUUCUUGCUGAUGCUAUUCCCAAAUAAAUCAGGCAUUUUCUUUUUUUGAUAUGUAAAAGACAAAAGUAUUUUAUAAAUAAAGAGAAAAGGCACCCAAAGGACAGCCCAAAGCAUACCGGGAGUAUACAAGGGGUGCCUCAAGGUGAAAGCCAAGAAGAAGAGGGGUUACAGAAACUUACCCACCCUCAUUUAGAACCCAACUAAUCAAAAAAGUCGAUCAAUGAUAAAGGACCUACAUCUAUGACAACUUAUUCCAAGACCAAUAAUUACAAACAAAAGAAUUUUUCAAUCUUUGAACCAAAAACUUCCCAUUUUCAAAAGCAAUCUUGUUUCUUUCCUUCCAAAUAGUCCAAAAGAGGCAUAAAGGGGUUGUCUUCCACAAAUUUUGACGCUUCUUGCCCACAAAGGAACCAUUUCAACCAAUAAGAGUCUCUUUAACUAACAAAGGAAGAACUCACGACACCCCAAAGAGAGCAAAAAUUAACUCCCACAAAGCCUUAGCCUUGGAGCAAUGAAUUAGGAUGUGAUCUAUAGACUCUUAUUUAACAAGGCAAAGGAAACAUCUAUUAGCUAGAGUCUACCCCCUCCUUUUUAAUUGAUCCAAAGUUAAGACCUUACCCCAUGAUGCUUCCCAAGUAAAAAAGCCCACUUUGGAGGGCACACAUGUCAAAACACUCAGAAAAACCCUAGAAACUGAGAACUCUCCACCUUUAUUAUCCUCUGCAUCCAUCUAUAUACAGACGUAUAUCCUAUACAUGGAGUCUAACUGAUUCCUAAAUUGUAUAUGGUAACAUUAACAUAUACAUGGUAAGCCAAUUCUGUCAAUCUUUUCGUAUAUGUACAACCAAUCUGAUUCCUAAAUUGUAUAAGGUAACAUUAACAUCCCUUCUCAAAUUGAUGCUGUUAAGUCAACAAGCAACAAUUUGCCAACAAGAAAUUGAUGCCGCUGUCGAGUCAAAGCUUUGGUGAAGAUAUCCGUCACUUGGAGAUCAGAAGAGAUGUGAGGAAGAGAUAUCACCCGACUUUCCAAGGUGUCUCAAAUAGAAUGACAAUCAACCUCAAUGUGCUUGGUACGUUCAUGAAAAAGGGGAUUGGUGGCAAUCUGAAUAGCACUAGUGUUAUCAGCAUGAAAAGGUGUAGAAGUUGUCUGAGGAAACCCAAGUUCCUCAAGAAGACCGCGCAGACAUACAAUUUCAGAACAAGUAGUAGACAUGGCACGAUACUCGGCCUCAGUAGAGGAUUUAGAAACACGAUCUUGUUUCUUACAUUUCCAAGAAAUUAAGGCAUCACCUAAAAACAUACACCAACCUGUAGUAGAUCGACGUGUAUUUGGACAUCCAGCCCAAUCAACAUCACUAUAGGCAACAAGUUGAAGAGAGGAGCCAGUAGGAAAGAACAACUCACGAGUAGGUGAACCUCGAAGAUAGCGGAUGAUGCGUCGAAUUGCAGCAAGAUGGAGAUGCCGAGGAGAAGGCAUAAACUGACUGACCUGAUGAACAACAUAGGAGAUAUCAAGUCGAGUAGUGGUCAAGUAGAUAAGACUCCUAACCAGGCGCCGAUAGAGAGUAGGAUCAUCCAAAAGGUCCCCUUCAUCUUUCCUAUAUUUGACAUUUACCUCCAUAAGAGUAUCGAUAGAAGAAGCGUCCUCCAAACCAGCCAAAGUGAUAAGAUCUUGAAUAUACUUAUGCUGGUUCACAUCCAUCUGAUGCAGUUGCCAUGACUGUGAAGCGGCAAUAGCUAAGAUGGUUCAAACCGUGGUCAUUUUGGCAACAGGAGCAAAUGUCUCCUCAUAAUCAACCCCAUAUUCCUGCUUGUUACCCAGAGCUACGAGGUGAACUUUGUACCGGUCCAAAGAGCCAUCAGAACGAAGUUUUACAAAAAAAACUCAUUUACUCCUAAUAGGUUUGACUGUAGGAGGACAAGGAACAAUAUCCCAAGUACGAUUCUCCUCAAGUGCUUGAAGUUCUGCUUGCAUUGCAUUUUGCCAACACUCGUGUUCAGAACUUCUUGGGACAAUCCCGAGCAAUAUGACCAAAAUCUUUACAACUAAAGCACUAGACAACACGCAUGCCUUGACCCUUAUUUCACCCUUGUGCUGCAUAAGCCACAGAAACAGGUGCACUAACAUUAGCCCGAUGUUCCAUGGUAGCUUGAGUUACGAUACACUGCUCCUCACGCAGAAUUUCACUCAAGCAGGCAUCCAGAGAUGGUACAGGAUGACGAUUCAUCAGAUUAGACUGUGCAAUUUCAAAGUCGGGUCGUAGCUUCAUCAAGAAUUGAUCUCGCUUGCUAGUUGCAUGCACUACUUGGACAACAGAGAGAGCUGCAGUAGGAACAUUAGCAUAAACAAUGUUGGAAUAAUCAGUCCAAAGAGUUUGAAAACCAGAAAAAUAUUCCUCAAUUGAGAGACUUCCUUGUGUGAAAUUAGCCAUCUCAUACUCCAAUUGAAAACGCCUAGCAGAGUUGUCUUGAUUGUAAACCGUGUGGAGAUAAUUCCACAUAGCAGCAGUAGUUUUAUAAAGCCUUAGAUUGAGAAUAAGGUGAGGUUCGAUCCAGGUCAUAACUCGAGCAUACUUAAUUUCCCACUUAGACAAAGCCUCGGCAUCACGAGGUGCAGGAUUACUCUCAUCAAUAUGACCCCAUAAUUCUUUUCCUUGUCAAAUAAUUUAAAUUGAAACUCCCAAGCACAAUAAUUUUUGCUAGUAAAUUUAAUAGGAAAUUAUUCUAACUUAUCUAAUGACAUGAUGCAACCGAGAGACAAAGGAAAUAGCCCACCAAAAAAUUGAAACAGAAACACUCUUAGCUCUCUGUUGUCUGUCUGUUUCUCUCUCUGACUUUCUCUCUAAAAUUAGCUUGCAGGUUUUGGUGUGGGUUUAUGAUGAGAGAGAAAUUAGAGUUUCAGAGGUCAUCUGUGAAUUUCUAUGAUGGUUGUUGCAGUAUCAACUACACCAAAUCCGAAGACCUCGUCACGAUGAACCCGAUCAACACUAUUUUCGAUGCCAAACAUUUGAUUGGUAGAAGGUUCUCCGAUGCCUUGAUUAAGAGUGAAGAACACUAUUGUUACAGUGCCUGCCUACUUCAAUGACUCUCAGCGUCAAGCCACCAAGGAUGCGGGAGUUAUUACCGGCCUCAACCUGAUGCAUAUCAUCAAUGAGCCAACAACUGCCGAGAUACACCCCUCAAACGCAGCUACUAAAGGGAUUGAAACCCAGAAAAAAAACACCCACAACAAUCACAAAAAAAAAAAACCACAAAUGCCCCACAGGAAGUGUCUAAAUCUCCAAGAAACACGAACUCCACUCAGAAGGCGCCGAAACCUUGCUCUGAUACCAUGUCAAAACACUUAGAAAAACCCCAGAAACUAAGAACUCUCCACCUUUAUUAUCCUUUGCAUCCAUCUAUAUACAGACGUAUAUCCUAUACACGGAGUCUAACUGAUUCCUAAAUUGUAUAUGGUAACAUUAACAUAUACAUGGUAAGCCAAUUCUGUCAAUCUUUUUGUAUAUGUAUAGUUAAUUUGAUUCCUAAAUUGUAUAUAGUAACAUUAACAAUGCAAGGGUUCCAAAUGAUGUUCCACGGAAAAGGAGUUGCAUUCCUUGUCUCCAAAGCACCAUAAAGAGACUUAAUAGAAAACUCCACACUUUUAGUCUCUUUCCAUAGCAUCCUAUCCUCCAAAUCCACAAACACCCUCUUUUCUUGAAUUAUCAAAAGGAAUCGCUCCAUCAAAUCCACCUCCCAAUCAUUGAGUAGGAUUCCAUCCCCCUACUUCACUCGAUAAAUCCCAUACCUCCGCCACCCAAACCUCUUUAGAGUCCACCAAAGUAUAUACGAAGAUGGGAAAGAAUCGCACAAAGCAACAUCACCACACCAAUUAUCCUUCUAGAAUCUCACUUUUCUCCCAUUACCCACUGAGAACCCAAUUUUAUUACUUAAUAAAAAUCCCUCCCUCGAAAUUUCCUUCCACAAACCCACACCAUACCCCUCCUUAAUUGCUCGAGUACUCCACCCCCCUUUUUCUACCCCAAACUUCCUACCAAUAAUGAUAUAGGACAACCCUAGGAUGGUUGCCUACACUCAAGGGUAGGUGGGCUAGGGUUUUAUUUUUAGGGUGUAAGGAGAGGAACAAGGAAUAAAUUUUAUGGUAGAGAAAAUUAUAAGAUAAGAAAUAGAGAGAGAAAAAACAAUGAAGAAAAGAUGGAAAACCUUAGAGCCUCAAUAAGGCCUUCUAAGAGUCUCACCUAGAAGAAAAUCAAUGAAGUCUCACCAUUGAGGGUUGCAACCUUGUACUGAAAGAAAGUAUAAUAUUAUUCAUCAAAUUCAACCCUUUAAUUUACUUUGAUUAGCCUAUUUAUAGGCUUCUCUAAGAAAUCCAAAGUCUAUUAGGAUUCUAAUAACCUGUUAUGAUUCUAAUUCUAAUUAUAACAUCCAAAGUCUACUAGGACUCUUCAAAUUCUAAUUAUAUUAUAACUCAACUAGCUAAUCCUAAUUAGACUCUAACAAAUAUUAAUCCUAAUUUAAUUCCAAGUAAUAUUAAUACUAUUUUAAUUAUAACUAAUACUAAUUCCCUUUCUUGAUAUAUAUCUUGAAGAUUCAUCCUCAUCAAUUCCCCCUGACUUGAAAAAAAACUCGACCUCGAGUUUUAGUGAUUUUCCACGAUCAAUUGAUAUUCCGAGCAAUGUCUUCCACCCUUUAUUUCUUCGUCGUCUCUUUCCCAUGGUAAGACAGGAUCUCAAGAUCUCUUGAACUUGUUCAAUUUCAUGCAAGACAAAUAUUGUGCUUCGAAAAACUUUUUGAUGUUGUAUGGGGAAAAUUGUUGGGGGGAGUUCAUACGCAACAAUAGCAAAACGUGCUUUGUUGGGUAAUCCAAACGCGAUCGCAGUGAAGGUCAAAAGAGAGGAAUCGAUGGGAUUGUUGAAGAAGUUGGAACACUGCGUUGUGGCGAGCAGGAGGGGUAACGUAGGGGAAGAGGAUGAUCUUGAGAAGCUGGGACAGCAUUGGGCAAAAUCGUGGGAGCUUAAAGGUAGCUUAGGGUUGGCUAAAAUGGAAAAGGGAAGGGUUCUACUGGACUUUGAAGACUUGGAAGAGGCGCGUCGUGUUGUUUCUUCUGGGAAUCGCACGAUGGAAGGAGUCCAGGUAGGGCUGGAUUUUUGGAGUCCGAGGAGUGGGUGCUGGACAGAGGAGGAGAAGGCAAAGGAGAUUUGGGUGAGAUUAUUUGGACUUCCAGUCUCGUUUUGGAGCCCAGAGAUUUUGAAGAAGGUGGGGGACGAAUGCGGUGGCUUUAUAACAGCCGACGAACAAAUGAAGUCGUUGGGCGAGCUACAGUGGGCCAGAAUCUUAGUGAGGGGAAGAGGUGAUGCUCGUCCGAGUGUUCUGGAAGUCGAAGUGGAAGAGGAGGUCUAUGAGAUAGCAUUAUGGUGGGAAUGUCGUCCGGUGAUAAGGAGGUCUUCCAGACAAGCAGACGGUCGUUGUAGAAGCGAGGUUGGGGGUGAGGAGUCCUCACGCGCGGAGAAGCGAGUGACAAAGGGGUGGGUGAGCGUGAGGCUCGAGGACCUGCAUCCGUCAGGUGAUGGGACGGGUGGGUAGAGGGCUGUUGGGGGUCGGGUUGUAUCCAAUGAAGGCCGAGGCCCAAUAUUCCCGUCUUGGACUCAAUUUGGUGCAGUCCACCCUUUAAGCCCAAAUGCCAGCCCAAAGGUGUUAAAAGGGGACGGUGGGCCUGGGCUGAAGAGUGGAGUAAUGGGAUUAAAGAUGAAAGGGGUGGCUUUAAGUUCAGAUGCAGGCCCGUCGUGUAGGCCCGAUGAGGUGGGCUGUUCCACUAUAGGCCCAGUCUCGACAUCAAACAAAGGCCUAAGUUCAAAGGGAUAUGGUCCACAGUCCGUUAGAAGUGUAAAUACAAGGGAGGGCCCAUCUUCUUCAUCAGCAGGCCAAGACCAUAAUAUCUCUCAGAAGAAGGACUUAAUGUUGAUGGGGCCUGAUCCAGGUAAGACUCAUGCGCCAGAGCCUUUUGUUGCGUNNNNNNNNNNNNNNNNNNNNNNNNNNNNNNNNNNNNNNNNNNNNNNNNNNNNNNNNNNNNNNNNNNNNNNNNNNNNNNNNNNNNNNNNNNNNNNNNNNNNUAUCAGAGACGGAUAAGGCACUUGAAGAGGAAUCAAUGAGGUAUGGAAAUGGGUUGUGGUCUUGGGGAAAAAGGGUUCUGGGGAUUUCUCAUCUCAACUCUUUUAAUUUUGAUCGGACUCCGGGAGUGGAGUCUUUCGGUCAUUCUGGGGAUUGGAAUGAGGGAGUUCGGGUUGACAAUACAAUGUGGCUAACGGUAUAUGAGGGCUGUGUUGAGAGGAGCAAUGGAUGCAGGGAGGUGGGAGCAAAGGAAAGUAGCAGUGAUACGGGAAGGGGGACUCUUGAGGUCGGUGCCAUAUAUGAUACCCAAACAGAGAGAGGAAUGCAGGAGUAUAAAUGGGAGGAGAGUGAUCUGGAAAAAUUUAGUCAAUUCCUGGGAUUCCCCACGGAGGGAUUGGAGAAGGAAAUACUGAAGUUUCUGUCUCAAAUCAGAAAGAGAAGGGAGAAAAUCCAUAGUAAAGAGCUAUUGGAAAAAUCUAAGUUUGAAAGGGAAUUAAAAAGACUGGAAUGCUCCAUUAAUUAUGAGGGGGGGAUUAAACAGAAAGGCUUGGUACAGGGCAAAGGGCGCCAGAUUGUGAUUGUCCAAUGAAGAUGAAAAUUCUGAGUUGGAAUGUGAGGGGAGCAAAUGAAAGCUCUAAAAGAAAAGUAAUUAAGACGUUUUUAAGGAAUCAGAGGGUGGACGUAAUCUGUAUUCAGGAGACUAAAAUUCAAGCGAUGUCGGAUAACAUUGCGAGAAGCAUAGGCUCCGGCAGAUUCCUAGAGUGGAAGGCUAUGAAUGCGGAAGGAGCUUCAGGAGGAAUUCUGAUGUGCUGGGAUAAAAGGUCCCUGGAGGUUCUAGAUUGGGAAGAGGGCCAGUUUACCUUAUCUUGUAGAUUCCGGAAUAUAGAAAAUGGGGCAAUUUGGAUUUUUACGGGAGUGUACGGCCUGUUCUCCAAGAUGGAAAGGGAGGCUUUAUGGGAUGAGUUGGGGGCGAUUAGAGGGCUGUGGGAAGACCCUUGGUGUAUAGGGGGGGACUUUAACAUAACCUUGUUUCCGAGGGAAAGGAGCAGCCAGAGGAGAAUGAAUUCAACAAUGAGGAAAUUUGCGGAAAUAGAGGAUGAUCUGGGGCUAAUGGAUCUCCCACUUCAAGGGGGAGAAUUUACUUGGAAUGGGGGACAAAACAACUAGGUCUGGGCAAGAUUGGACAGGUUCCUUGUUUCCCCUAGUUAGACUGACCAAUACAAUGGGAUUAGUCAAUGUAGGCUGCCCCGUCCGGUUUCCGAUCAUUUCCCAAUUAUGCUAGUGGGGGGGGGGGGGGAUAAGACGAGGCCCAACUCCAUUCAGAUUUGAAAAUAUGUGGCUUAAGGUUGAGGGCUUCAAAGAGUUAGUGUGCAGCUGGUGGCAAGGAAUUGAGGUUAGGGGCAGUGGUAGUUACAAGUUGGCUACUAAGAUGAAGGAAGUCAAACAGAAAUUGAAAGUUUGGAAUAGAGAAGUCUUUGGGAAGCUGGAGACCAAUAAAUCCUUAGCCUUGCAGCAGGUGGAGUUUUGGGAUAGGGAGGAAAGUGGGAGAAUUCUGAUUGUGGAGGAAACAGAGCUUAAGAAAGAAGCAAAGGAUAAUUAUAGGAAAUGGGUGAUUAUGGAAGAGACUCAUUGGAGACAGCUCUCUAGGGAAAUAUGGCUGAAGGAAGGGGAUAGAAACACGGGCUUUUUUCAUCGUAUGGCAAGCGCUCACCGUAGAAAUAAUCAGUUGGAGAGAAUAAAGAUCAAUGGGGAGUGGCUGUUAGAGGAGCAGGAAAUCAGGGAAGGAAUUGCUAGUACGUUCCAAAGCUUGCUUUCAGAAGAUAUGGGGUGGAAGGCGGACAUAGGGGGCCUUCGGUUAGACCAGAUCAGCCAACAAGAGGCUGAGACCUUGGAGAGGCCCUUUACAGAGGAGGAAAUCUACGUGGCACUGAUGGAGAUGAAUGGGGAUAAAGCCCCUGGUCCGGACGGCUUUACAAUGGCAUUUUGGCAAAGUUGCUAGGAGUUCAUUAAAGAGGAGAUUUUGGAAAUGUUCAAAGACUUCUAUGACCACAGUUCUUUCCUCAAGAGUCUCAACAAUACCUUCUUGGUGCUGAUUCCCAAGAAAAGUGGGGCUGAGGACCUUAGAGACUUCAGACCGAUUAGUCUCUUAGGGGGGCUUUACAAGUUAUUGGCUAAAGUGCUAGCUAACAGAUUGAAGAAAGUAGUUGGUAAGGUGGUAUCCACUUCUCAGAAUGCCUUUGUGAAGGGAAGACAAAUCCUUGAUGCGUCUUUAAUUGCAAAUGAAGUGAUAGACACGUGGCAGAAACAAAAGGAAAAGGGCAUUAUAUGCAAGUUGGAUAUAGAGAAAGCCUAUGACAGCAUCAAUUGGAAGUUCUUGGUGAAGGUGUUACAAAAGAUGGGAUUCGGGUCCAAAUGGGUGGGGUGGAUGUGGAGUUGCCUAUCGUCAGCUAAAUUUUCAGUGUUGGUUAAUGGAGUGCCUGCAGGUUUCUUCCCUAGCACUAAAGGCCUUAGACAAGGGGAUCCGUUGUCUCCUUACCUCUUCAUCAUGGGGAUGGAAGUGCUUGAUGUGCUUAUCAGGAGAGCUGUGGAGGGGGGGUUCUUAUCAGGAUGCAACAUAAGGGGUGGAAGUGGUCCCUCUUUGAACAUCUCUCACUUGUUUUUUGCUGAUGACACAAUUAUCUUCUGUGAGGCCAGAAAGGAUCAUCUAACUUACUUGGGGUGGAUUUUAUUCUGGUUUGAAGCGGCUUCAGGCUUAAGGAUUAACUUAGCCAAGAGUGAAGUCAUUCCAGUUGGUGAGGUGGUGGAGGUGGAAGAGUUGGCUGUUGAGCUUGGCUGUAGGGUGGGGACUUUACCUUCUCAGUAUUUGGGUCUUCCUUUAGGGGCCCCAAAUAGAGCGCCUUAUAUAUGGGAUGGGGUGGAGGAAAGAGUGAGGAGAAGACUAGCUCUUUGGAAACGGUAAUACAUUUCUAAAGGAGGAAGAGUCACCUUAAUAAAAAGUACAUUGACUAGCAUGCCAAUCUACCAAAUGUCCAUUUUCAGAAUGCCAAAGGUUGUUGUUAGAAGGAUUGAGAAAGUGCAAAGGGAUUUUCUAUGGGGAGGGGGAAACAUGGAGAGAAAAGUGCAUUUGGUUAAAUGGGAGGUGGUUUGUACAGACAAAGAGAAAGGUGGGCUAGGCCUUAGAAAGCUAGCUUUGUUGAACAAAGCUUUACUUGGCAAGUGGAUAUGGAGGUAUGCAUGUGAAAAAAAUAUUUUGUGGAGACAAGUGAUUAAGGUGAAGUAUGGGCAGGAGGGUCUUGAUUGGAGGCCCAAAAAGGGAAUUGGGGCGGUUGGUGUAGGGGUUUGGAAGGAGAUCUGGAAAGAAUCAGAUUGGUGUUGGGAUAACAUAACAUUCCGUGUAGGAAAGGGCAACUUGAUUUGUUUUUGGACAGAUGUGUGGUGCUCAGAAUCUUCAUUGGCUCAAUGUUUCCCUCAUCUCUUUGGUAUGGCUGUGCAUCAGAGUUUGACGGUUAAGGAAAUGUGGGAUCAAAAUUCGGGUCAAGGAAACUGGAACCUACACUUCUUGAGGGACUUCAAUGAUUGGGAGAUUGAGCUGGUUGGGGAGUUCCUCCACAUUUUGAGGGGUUUUAAACCUUCUUUGGAGGAAGAUUCAGUUAUAUGGAGAAAAGGAAGAAGUGGUCAGUUUAGGGUUAAGGAAGCUUACAGUUUGUUGACGAAUUCUGAGGUUAUGGGAUUUCCCCAUAAAAGCAUUUGGGUGGCAAGAGUGCCAACUAAAGUUGCUUUUUUUGCGUGGGAGGCGGCAUGGGGGAAGGUGCUAACUUUGGAUAGGCUUCAAAGAAGAGGAUUUCAACUUCCAAAUCGGUGUUUCUUGUGUGAAUGUGAAGAAGAGAGUGUAAAUCAUAUCCUUAUAUAUUGUACAGUGGUUAGAGCUUUAUGGGAUAUUGUCUUUGGUUUAGUUGAUGUAAAAUGGGUUUUUCCGGGAACUGUAAAGGAGGUCUUAGCUAGUUGGAGGGGUUCGUUUGUGGGAAAGAAAAGGAAAAAGAUAUGGGAUGCCAUUCCGUUGUGCAUUUUUUGGACGGUAUGGAAGGAGAGGAAUAGAUUAGCUUUUAGGGGGGGGGGGGGUUUUGAAUAUCCAAAAGUUAAAGAAUUCUUUUGUUUNNNNNNNNNNNNNNNNNNNNNNNNNNNNNNNNNNNNNNNNNNNNNNNNNNNNNNNNNNNNNNNNNNNNNNNNNNNNNNNNNNNNNNNNNNNNNNNNNNNNCUUUGUUGAACAAAGCUUUACUUGGCAAAUGGAUAUGGAGGUAUGCAUGUGAAAAAAAUAUUUUGUGGAGACAAGUGAUUAAGGUGAAGUAUGGGCAGGAGGGUCUUGAUUGGAGGCCCAAAAAGGGAAAUGGGGCGGUUGGUGUAGGGGCUUGGAAGGAGAUUUGGAAAGAAUCAGAUUGGUGUUGGGAUAACAUGACAUUCCGCGUAGGAAAGGGCAACAUGAUAUGCUUUUGGACAGAUGUGUGGUGCUCAAACUCUUCAUUGGCUCAAUGUUUCCCUCAUCUCUUUGGUAUGGCUGCGCAUCAGAGUUUGACGGUUGAGGAAAUGUGGGAUCAAAAUUCGGGUCAAGGAAACUGGAACCUACACUUUUUGAGGGACUUCAAUGAUUGGGAGAUUGAGUUGGUUGGGGAGUUCCUCCACAUUUUGAGGGGUUUUAAACCUUCUUUGGAGGAAGAUUCAGUUAUUUGGAGAAAAGGAAGAAGUGGUCAGUUUAGGGUUAAGGAAGCUUACAGUUUGUUGACGAAUUCUGAUGUUAUGGGAUUUCCUCAUAAAAGCAUUUGGGUGGCAAGAGUGCCAACUAAAGUUGCUUUUUUUGCGUGGGAGGCGUCAUGGGGGAAGGUGUUAACUUUGGAUAGUCUUCAAAGAAGAGGAUUUCAACUUCCAAAUCGGUGUUUCUUGUGCGAAUGUGAAGAAGAAAGUGUAAAUCAUAUCCUUAUAUAUUGUACAGUGGUUAGAGCCUUAUGGGAUAUUGUCUUUGGUUUAGUUGAUGUAAAAUGGGUUUUUCCAGGAACUGUAAAGGAGGUCUUAACUAGUUAGAGGGGCUCGUUUGUGGGAAAGAAAAGGAAAAAGAUAUGGGAUGCCAUUCCGUUGUGUAUUUUUUGGACGGUAUGGAAGGAGAGGAAUAGAUUAGCUUUUAGGGGGGGGGGAGGGGUUUGAAUGUUCAAAAGUUAAAGAAUUCUUUUGUUUGUAACUUGUGGAGUUGGGCCAAAUUGUAUGUAGGUGAGAAGGCGUUCUCCCUUAUAGGCUUUUUAGAGUGGAUAGCCUCCACUUAAAGGGAGGUGAUUCUCUGUUUUGUUUUCUGAGGCCCAUGCUAUUUUGUAUACUUCCUGUAUGCUGUGUGGCGUUCAGCCUUUCUUAAUGCAUAUCUUUUACUUAUCAAAAAAAAAAAAAAAAAAAUUUUGAUGUUGUACAACAAGUUGAUAAUUCUCGAAAUAAUUAUGUGUUUUCAACAAGCUUGUGGAAAGUUGUUUCCUACACUCUUCUUGUAAAUUGUUUUGUGGAAGAAUAAGAUUCUUGAAUUCCCCAUAUUCAAAAGAAAUUUCAGCAGAUUCUUCAUGUUUGCCACCACUCAUGAUAAUGUUUGGCCUUGGGAAAUCAAACAUCGAUUCUUCUAAAACUUCUUCAACUUCUUUGAGUUCUUCUAUUGGUUGAUCUAGGAUUAGUUUCAUCACCUCUUGCUUUCUAGAUUCAUCACUGAUGAUUUCUUCCUCCUUUCUAGUAACUUCGACUUGCUUUUUAAUAAAAAUAUUUGAUGGCUCUUCUAGUUUCAAGGGUGCUAAUUUUUCCUCUGGUUGCUUAUGUGAUGGAAUUUCCUUCAUUGGACGAAGGAUCUUCUUACACCCAUUGCGCACAAGUGUGUAAGUGUUCUCAUAUCCAUCAUGUUGGACCCUUUCAUCAAAAAGCCAUGGUCUUCCAAGCAUAAUAUGAGCAACUUUCAUCAGCAAAACAUCACACCAUGAUGAUAACUCAAAAUUAUUACUGAAAUUAAACGUCACUAGACAACGAGAACUCGCCAAAAUAGAUGUGUCAUUUACCCAUGCUAUUUGAUAGGGAUUUGGAUGAUCUUCUGUCUUUAGAUUAAGCUUCUCAACAAGCUCCUCUGAAGCUAGAUUGGAACAACUACCUCCAUCAAUAAUCAAAGUACAUAGUCUUCCUUGACAAACAAUACGAGUUUGGAAUAUGCUAGUAUGUCGCCAAUCCUCCUCUUCAUUUAGUCUUAGUAUGUUCACCAAUGGCUGCAUAAAAAAGUUGUAGCUUUCAACCAUGGUUGCAUAUGUUGCUCCACUCCUCAAUUACAUAUGCCUUCAUGCCAAGAAUUUUCGCUCUGAUACCAAAAUUGAUGUAGGACAACCCUAGGAUGGUUGCCUACACUCAAGGGUAGGUGGGCUAGGGUUUUAUUUUUAAGGUGUAAAGAGAGGAACAAGGAAUAAAUUUUAUGGUAGAGAAAAUUAUAAGAUAAGAAAUAGAGAGAAAGAAGAAACAAUGAAGAAAAGAUGAAAAACCUUAGAGUCUCACUAAGGCCUUCUAAGAGUCUCACCUAGAAGAAAAUCAAUGGAGUCUCACCAUUGAGGGUUGCAAUUUUGCAAUGAAAGAAAGUAUAAUAUUAUUCAUCAAAUUCAUCCCUUUGAUUUACAUUGAUUAGCCUAUUUAUAGGCUUCUCUAAGAAAUCCAAAGUCUACUAGGACUCUAAUAACCUAUUAUGAUUCUCAUUCUAAUUAUAACAUCCAAAGUCUACUAGGACUCUUCAAAUUCUAAUUAUAUUAUAACUCAACUAGCUAAUCCUAAUUAGACUCCAACAAAUAUUAAUCCUAAUUUAAUUCCAAGUAAUAUUAAUCCUAUUUUAAUUACAACUAAUACUAAUUCCCUUUCUUGAUAUAUAUCUUGAAGAUUCAUCCUCAUCAAAUAACCUGCUCCCAAAGAGCCCCCCUUUCAACCAUAAAAUGCCAACUUCAUUUGCACAAAAGGGCCCUAUUGAGUGUAGAAAGACAUCCAACAUCCAAUCCACCCUUUCUUUUGUUUGAACAAACCACCGCCUACUUAACUAGAUGAGGCUUCCUCCCUAAAGCCCCCCCUAAAGAAAGUCCCUUUAGAUUUUCUCUAAUCUCAAUCUAACCACUCUUUGCAUAUGGAAUAGGGACAUGUAGUAAAUAAGGAAGCUAGACAAUGUACUCUGAAUAAGAGUGAUUCUCCCUCCCUUAGAGAUAAAUUGCCUUUUUCAUAGAGCUAGCCUUUUGCGAAACCUCUCCACCACCCCAUCCCAAACUGCCACAGGAUUAUGCGGAGCACCUAGAGGAAGCCCCAAAUAAGAGGAAGGAAGCUCUCCCACCUUACAACCAAGCUCAAGGGCCAAAACCUCAAGAGGAAGGGAGGAGGAUUCCAUCCCCCUCCCUAGAGGAAGCCCCAAGCAUUUUCUUGUAGAUAGGGUAGCUAUCUAAAUUCUACCAUCGAUCAUCUUUGGUUGGUUAAGUUGAUUGAGUAAUUUGAAUAUGCUCUUUGUGGAUUUGUACUUUAUGUUGCUGAGUAAAUGCUCCUAUAUUUAAGUGAUGGUCAAGUUUUUUCUUUUUGAGUUCUCAAGCAUAGAUAAGGAAAAUUUAGUAAGCUAAUUCACCUAUUAAGGUGGGGCAUCCAAGAGUUGAACUUGGGACAUUUUGCACCCACAGAAAGAAUCAUUUUAGUGUAUCAAAUGUGCAGAUGUUGUACAUGUUUUGUUAUAUCAAUAUGAUUGCUUCUUAUCACCAUUGUAACUCUUAAAAGUUUUUUAUGCAUGUUGAGUGAAUGUGCAUUUGGUUGUUAAAAUAUCAGUACAAAGAAGUGGCAAAAACAAUAGGAGUAGAUUUUAUCCAGUAGCUUCAGAAAUAAUCAAAACUUAAACAGGAGUUCUGUGCCUACAAUCCAUGAUUUGAGUGUCUAGCAUGUUUGUCUCUAAAGUCUCUUGUUUAUACAAUUGCUUGUUUGGCAUGGCAAAAAGCUGUUUCCUACUGUACAGAUGGAAUAUUUUCUUGAUUAGGUUUCCAUCUAUAUUCUAACUUUGGUUGUGUUUGGUUGGUACUGUUGAUUUAUUAACUUGAAUAAUUGAUUUCAUCUUUGUGGAUGUUCAUUCCAUGCAACACUUUCUGCUCUUUGUUAUAGUGUAUGUGUUGGGAUUGGGCUGAUGCAUUUUUAAGGUGACUGAGGUGAAAGGUUUUGUUUGUCUUGCCCAUGUUGAUAUUAUUAUCUGCUGCUUACUUAUCAAUGAAGGAUAAUUAACAUUUUCUGUGGAAGUGUUUAACUUUGGAUGACAUCUUUGCCUAAAUAUUUAGAACAGAAAAAUAGCAGUAAAAGAUUGUAUGUGUAGGUGAAGUCACUGAUUAAGGUGGGGCAUUCUGAGAAUCAAACUUGGGGCCUCUUGCACCCAGAGCAAGAAUCACACCACCAGACCACAUGUCCAGUUCCUUUAUGCCACAAUAUUUAUAUCAAAUUUUCCAUAGUGAGAUGCUCAUUACAUGUUGACUCUAAAGAACCUUUUUGUCAUCAAUGUGUUUGUUGGAGCAUACAUACUGUGAUCAUGAAUGUUGUCAUGAACACAGAAAAAUUAAAAUGUUUCGUGGCAGUUUUUUAGUUGACAGGGAAUUACAUAGUUAAGCCAAAAAAUUUAAAUUAGAAUGAAGUAAAAAUAUGCCCACUGAAUUGGUUCAUUACCACUAUGAUAACGAUGGAGUAUUUAGAAAAAAAAUUCACUAUUUCCUUGUUGAAAGAAAAAACUACCAGUCGACCAAAUAUCUCUCUCUCUCUCAUCAGUGUUCAAUUUGGCAUGUCCUUGUGCUGUCCUUAAGUCUAGAGAAAAGAAUGCCUGCUUGGAUCCACUUGUUAUUUUUUUAUGACAUGCAUACUUUAUCAAUUGCAUUGCUAUAGUGUUUAUAUUGGUAAGCUGCUGAGGAAAUGCUAACAAGUGUUAUGCUUUGGGUUUGACCCUAUUUCCAUGAAGCCAAGUGUUCUUGCUGGAAAAGAGUCAAAGACCACUUUGAGAGACCUUUUUUUUCCUAAUAUGGUCUUGAUGAUAAAAGAAUGUCCUUGAGCUUUUAUUCUCUUAAUCCAUGACUGCGCUCAUGCAACUCAAGCUGAAGAAACUUAUUCAAUGGUCACUGCUAACCACUUUUGGUCCCAAAUCUUUGAUGUUUACAUAUGAAUCCCUACGUCGUUACAUUCCAUUUAGGAUUAGGAAUAGGCGUAAGAAGGAAGUUUGAGCUUGAUGCAAAUGGCUAAAAUAUCUUCCGCUUAGAUAGAUUAUAGAUAUAAGAAAAUCUAAUAAAAAAUGUUGCAUUCAUACCAAAUCAUCUGGCAGUUGUCCAAGGGGACAUUCUAAGAAGUGAUCUCAAAUCCUUGCACCUAAAGUAACAGUUUGAUUGCUAAACCAAACUCCCAAUUGUCGUUUCUUAUUGUUUUCUUUUCAUUUUCACCUUUGUUGGACAACCCAGCUGCAACUGUGAUAUGUUUGUCUAAGAUGUCCUUCAAAGGUAGGUAGCCUCCAGACAUGGCUCCAGAGAGCUAAAAUUGGAAAAUAAAAUUUUAUUUUGUUGUUUUUUUAUUUUUAUUUUUAUGAACAAAACUCUUCUGAAUUAGAGGUACUGAAAUCUUUUAGUCUAUGGUAGUUUUACAUUGCUCCUUUGAGUGAUUAGAUGAUUUAGAAAAAAUAAAUUAAUGAUGAAAUCUUAAUAAUUUUCGUGGUUCUUCUCAUCUUUUAUUGGCUAAAGUUCAUUGAGUAUUUGAAUUUGUUCUUCAAUUGGAUGUUCACACCAUGUGACAGUGCUUUCUCAUGUUCCAGUGUUAACUGCAUGUGUUGGGGUUGAGGAAGAUGGCUUUCUGUGCCAACCAUAAGGUUGCAGGUUUGAUUUUUGAGAUGCUCACCUUGAUUCAAGAUCUGCUUCUUGCUUCUUCUCAAUUCAUCCAUGAAGAAUAUUGUCAGAGCAGUGUUGUGUCUGUACCAGUUAAUUCUUUUCUCUUUUUAAUUCUACUUCAGAUCAGAUUAAUCUACUCAGAAUUUUUAAACAUAUGAUAUUAUGCUAUAGUUCUUGUAGAUUUUUUAUGUUUUGUUUCAUUGAGUACGUGAAUGACUGCUUCCAUUUCUUCUAAUAUUAUGGCUAAGUUAUGUGCUGCAGUUGAGGCAGCUCAUGCUUGUUUCUUAUUAAUUAAUUGUAAAGAAUUUUGUCAUGUUACAAUUAUUUCUGGUCUUGUUAAAACUUUCGAUUACAGAUUUUGAGUUGACUAUAGGUCAGAUUGUUAAAAUAUUUAAACAGAAUGAAAAGGAGAACUGAAUACUGUAUGGGUAAACUAAUUCCUGAUUAAAGUAUGUUAUAUCUGGCCUAGUGAAACUUUCCAUAACAGAUUUUGAGCUGACAUUAGGUCAGAUUCCUCGAAUAUUUAAAAUAGAACGAAAUGGAGAACUGAAUACUGUAUGGGUAAACUAAUUCCUGAUUAAAGUACUAUGCUUCUUUACUCAAAGCAGAAUGAAAUGGAGAACUGGAUACUGCAUAAGUGAAUUAAUUGCUGAGUAGAGUACUUUGCUUCAUUAUUUAAAGCAGAAUGAAAUUAGACAAAUAAAAUGACUAUGCAUGAAUGAAUUCUUGAUUAACGUAUGUAUCUUGGACUGACAAAGAAAGUCUAUUACUUAAAUUUAUUGAUAAAGUAUAUCUUAGUAGGUUUGGGUUGGAGUACUUGGCUCAGUACCUGAAUAAAUGAGCAGGGAUAAGGUGAUAAAACUGCUCGGUGGAGAACCCAAAGACAACUGCCACAUCCCAGAACUGACAAACUUUUUGUGACCAUGUAGAGCAGUUAAGCUGGAGAUUCAGAAAGUUUUCAUAAACUGAAGUUACCUACAUAGGUAAGAAAGAAUAACUCAUUUUCUUUUCUUCUUAUGCUAUUGUUCUAUUCGGUUUUAGUUGUAUGAGUACUUGAAAUUUUUUGUUUAAAUGGAUGUUCACACCACGUGACACUGAGCAAAUUCUUCCAUGUGUCCUUGCAUUAUGGUUAAGUGUGUAUGCUGGGAUUGAGGCAGAUGACUUUUUUCUGCCAAACUCUGACAAUGAGGCUGCAGAUUUGAACUUUGGGCUGCCUGCCUUGAUAUCAAUAUCUGAUUCUUUUUUCAUAUCCAUUUAUUAAGCCAUCUUGUCAGAACAAAAUUAUAUUUAGAGUAGUUAAAUUUUUUUAUUGCAGUUUGACUUUUAGGUGAGUCUAGAAGAGAGUGAAAUGGAGAACUGGAAAAAUGUGUAGAUGAGUGAAUUUCUCAUAAAAAUGGGGCAUUCCGAGAAUUGAACUCGGGACCUCUCGCACCCUAAGCGAGAAUCAUACCACUAGACCAAAUGCCCAUUUGCUGAUUUUUAUGUUUUCAGCUUCUGAUCAAUGUGGCUGAUUGGAUUUAAAGGGGUUAGUAGCUAUUGCUCCAAUUUCUCCUGUUAACUUCUAGGUGAUCCACCUUCAUCUAAAGGAGUGUGCUUUCUUGUUGCCCUCAACCUCCUAAGAUUUGGAUCUCACAGUCUGAACCCAAACAGCCUUUAUUUUUAUAUUGUUUAUCUUAUAGAUUCAUAAAUAUUAUGUAGCCUAGAUAUUGACUUGUUUGGUCCCUGGAUACCAAGAGCUAGAAAUUUAAGAUUGUAUUCUGACCAAUUAGUGGUGCCCAAGUCUCUGAGUUAUUGUCAUCUUCCUUUGCUUCUUUGGUUAGUCAGACUGGAGGAAGAUGAGAUUAAAUUUGAAGUCUUCCAUGAAUUGGUGGUUGUAUGAUUCAAAAUAUAUGGGAUUAACCAUUUUUUUUAAUCCCAUAGUUCUAAUAGAUUUACCUGUAUAAGUUCUUGAAUUUGUUCUUCAAAUGAUGUUCAGGUGAUGUGGCACUGAACAAAUUCUUCCAUGCGUUCUAGUAUUGAGCUUAGGUGUAAGUUCUGGGACUGGGAUAGAUGGCUUUCCCUGUUGAGUGCUGGCAACACGAUCACAGGAUUUAUUUUGGUCUGCUCAUAUUAAUUGCUUCUUUUUUCUCAUCAAUUUAUAGAUGGAAAAUCUUGUCAGAACACAGUUAAACCUGGACUAGUUAAAAUUUUCAUUGCAGUUGGACUUCAGGUCAGUCUACUUUGCUCAGAUAUUUAAAAUAGAAUAAAGUAGACAACUGAAAAUAUAUAGGUAAAUGAGCUUGUUAUUAAAA